AUGACAGCAGAAGCUUAACUCAUCAGACAGAAUUUAUCUGUAGGGAGAAAAACACCAAGGAAGGAACUGACAACUCUGACAAUAGUAUCUAUGGCAGAGAUAGUUACAGUAACAGAUUUUUCUCCUAUCCCCUUUCAGAGUUUGGGUCCCAGGAGCUGUAUGUGAAGUCUCCGUAUUCAGUCACUGGAAUAGUGUAAAGUUCCUUCUCUAUGUUGAACUCAUAAAGGUCCUGAAUGCACCAAAUAACAAAGGUGCCCACCUGUCAGAGCCAGAGAGGGGGUAGAUAUCGGUACCAUCCCAAAAGUCUGUGCAGGCCUCGAGGAUGAUGUCAGCUGUCCCAUGAGAAAACAUCUGCUCAGUGCCUGAAGUGUAGGAGAACAAUGAGUCAGCAUCACACAAACAGGCUCCCAGGAAAGGGAUAUCAUACCAACCGCUCCCUUAUUUGUUAAAAGCGAGUGUUCCUGCAAACUGCCUUGACACACUCCAGAUAUCCCCUUUCCUCUAUUGAAAGUCUUCAGUCUCCGUCAAGAAAUUAUUCAAGACUGGAUGAUAUAUAUUCAGCUGCUAUUUGUCUAACUAGCAGAAGAAAAGAUAUUCCUGUGUUCCUCUUCUCAAGAGAGCACAAGCACCAGUGAUGAGCCUGCGGGGAUCAAAGUCUGCCUACACUGGAAAGUGCGUUCGAUUUUAGGCCAGGCAUGCAUCUAAAGGUGUCUGGCUUCUGGAAAAAAUUGGAAGGCAUCCUACAUUACACCUGACAAACUCUGAUCCUCAGCCAUUUCUGACAACGGAACUGUAUUAGCUGACUGGAGCUAGAGGACAAGUCUCUCAUCUUCUGAGUGACAGAUGUCUGUGCUGCAGUGGUGCUCUGAGCGCGUCCUCUGUUCCAGGAGUGCUAACUCUUCAUCACACACAUAUAUUAGAGCAAAAAGAUUGCUUUCAGCUAGAUUUGGGACUGAUGUUUUCACUUGGGUUCAUUUUAUUUUUAGUAUUUUAAAAUAAACCUAGCUUAUCAAAUUUACUACUGAGGUUA